GAAAUGCAAUGUCGUUUGUCAUGUCGCGAAAUUUGUGCAAAAAGUGCCACAGGUACGGCUCCCGGGGCAAGGGCAUGUCGAGGUGAUGCAUUGUGGCAAGCUCCU
rnacentral:ribozyme from 14 species